UUCUGAAUGCUGUAUCAGCUCUGUCGUGCAGGAACUGCCAUGAUCAUUUACUGCAGAAUCUGGCAGCCGAAGACAUGGAGGCUAGGCCCGCUGUGGAGGUACCUCUCCAGAAACCACCAUAAUCCAGGGAUGGAUGGAAGUGUCGAGCAUACAACAAAAAAAAAGAGAUUAUGCCAGAGAGAUAACUGGGUGCUACAGAGAGACAUUGAGAGGAAUUAUUUCAAGAAGCAGUAGUCAGUCUCCAAAAUAAUGUUAUCAUCAUCUGCAGAACAGAAAGAUCCUCUCAUUAGCUAGGUUAAGUACUGAGAAAUUUGAACAAGUAAAAUAUACUACACUUACAAGAUCAUGAACUAUAAUCCUGAAAACUUUUUCCAAGGAAAAAGUUUUGUAUCAGCUUUCAGUGACUUUUACCAGGAAACAUCACACCAAGUUCUAACAGUAUUGACUUUUGUUUUAUAAAAAUGAUUUGUUGUCCAAAUUCUGCAUAAUUUCUGAGUUUUAAUAUUUUCACAAAUAUGGUAUAUAUUCGUGAUCAGCUUUCUUGAGAACAUACUAAAACUAUAAAAAUACCUUACAAGCAAAAUAAUUUUUCUCCACCUAGAAAUUCUUGUUUUGUUUUGUUUUUUUAAGAGCCAUUUACAAUCAUCUGUAAACCAUGACCCAGGGGCUUAAUCUGGCCAGCCAUGGGUUUUUUGUAAAUAAAGUUUUAUUGGACAGCAAUCAUGAUCAUUCAUGUAUGGAUUGUCUGCGACUGUUUCCGUGAUUUAAUGUUAUUACAGUGAAAACCCAAUGGCAAAGUCCAGGCUUCACAAGAGCUAUGGCACAGCUGGCAAGGCCCAAGUUAUUUCCUAUCUGACCCUCUGCAGCAAAAGUUUGCCAAGCCCAGAUCUAAGGGAAGGUGUUCCGGGGACACUGCUGACUGUUAAACAAAGUCAAUCAAGGUGAGGAAGUGGAAAAUGGGUCAGCUCUGGUUUAGACGUGACAGCUUUCUCUUUGGCUUCAUAAAGACGGGGGAAAACAGACUUUAUAUGCCAUUUUCUUGUUCCUCUGCCCCAGGCAGUCAAGCUCCUGCUGAGCCGGGGUCACAAAGGACUAGGAUAAUGCUGCAUCUUCCAUGACAGAAAAUUGGCAAUUGAAAAAGGAUGGCUAGGACAGGUCUACUUGAGCUGACCGGGGGGCCCUGAGACACUGGCCCCAUCCCACCAGUUUCUGCCACCUUCUACUGACUUGGAAUUAGCUCAGAAACUGUGGACUGGCCACAUCCCUCAAGCUCUCUGCUCAAGUCAUUUGAGGACAGUCAGCAGGUUUUUAUUGAUAUUAUGAAGAAAAUCCAUCAACAGCAGUAGCUCGAGAGAGAGACAUGGAAUGACUUUCCUAUGAAAUAGGGACAUUGCUUUAAGACUCAACCACUUCCCAUAUUAAACAGAACGGUUACAUCUAAGCUCAGCUUCUUCACAAAUCUCCGUCGUCCGUAGUUGAGGAUGCAAAAAUCAAGCUGUCUUCAACUACUGUCCAGAAAUUUCCGCAGAACUUGCGUGGUAACACCACUAGAAGAAGAGAGGAUUUUUACGUGAGGACUCCACAGAUUAUCCAGCGAGAAAUGGGCAAGGCUGUGUUGACUGUCUCACGGUUGGAUGCGCCUGCUUCAGUUUGCCUCCGGGGGCGCCAUAGCAGAUGUCCAGUCUGUACAGACUUGGGCUCCUUCCAUGCUCCCCCAGAGAAUAGUUCAGCAUUACAGACCACUUCCUUCACGCCACAAACGUCCGUGUUGGGGGAGUCCCAAGUAUGGGUUGGUACAUUUACCGUCUGUUCUCAAAAUCUCUGUGCUGGUGAGUGGGAAAGGUGCUCCUCUGGGGAGUUCUGGUUCCUGUUUGUAGUAGGGAUGGACCAGUGAGAGAGGCAGUGAUGCAGCUGCCGCCAGACGAGGCUCAGGCUGCAUGUUUUCCGCAAUGACAGACCACCGCUGAGUACGUCCAGAAGAAGCUCAGGAGAUGCGCAAGUCCAUGCCUUCCCUGGAGUCUGUUCUGCGGAAAGACAUGUACGAAUGAAUCCAUUUGUGAAUGAAUCCCCGGUUGCCGCAGACCAGUAGUUAGAAGUCAAGAUAGCUGAAGACGUCGGCUGUCGGAGCAGCAGCUUCAUCUGUUAACUUAAACCAGUGGUACCCAAGAGCGGCUGGCUCCAGAUGAUUUUCCCGGUUGAAAGGCGAGAGCUCACAAAAAGGCAGUGUUCACAAAGCCAAACCUUGGAGCUCCACACAGCACCUAGGCCAAAAGCAAUCAACAGCCUGAGCCCACACAACAGCACAUUAAAAAACAUGCCAGCUUCCCUCACAUCACGCAAAAAAACCAACACCGCAAUUCUGAAUUGUGUAACUCCCCGAGGACAGAACGAGACCAAAAUAAAAGGAGGGAAUCAUUUAAAGGACAAGUUGUUGCUGACAAUUACACAAGGGGGUGACAGCUUCAACUUCCUUUAAUGCAGAAUAUAAGUGAACGGGAUGUCUGAACAUCUAUCUGUGCAGCCAGCAGACACCCUAGGGGAAUCAAGAUGCAAUAACAUUUGUCUCCUGGGAAUGCUGACAUGAAUCCCAUGCAUCCAUGUACUGAGAAUUGUCUUAGAACACUGGUCAGCACACACUUUCUAUGAAGAGCCAGGUAAUAAACUGUUUCAGCUUUGUAACCCUGGUAGUAUUGAGUAGACAGACCUGGCUACCCCAGUCGCUGGCCAGUGGACUUCCUGGUUCAGAACUUUUUAGCCACAGCUAUCUUGGAAGGCCCCUGGAUCCAGCGGACGCAAGAACCACAUACCUAAAUGGGAACCAUGUUAUCUACACUGUUGGAAAAACAUUGUAUUGAUUCCAGAGUUGAACUCAGGCUUUGUGAGCAAGCUGCUGCCACUAUUGAAUUCUGCUGAUGUAUCUGAACAAGAGUUGCCAUACCA